UUCUUUUUCUUUCUUCUUCCUCUAUUCUUCUUUCCUUCUUCUUUCUUUAUUCUUCUUUUUUCUUCCUUUCUUUCUUCCCCGAUCAGCCCCCCCUACCGAUUUCUCUGCUGCCGGCACUUCCUCCGCCUACGGUGUGACGGCCGGCGACGGUGCACUUCCUUCCUCCCCUUUUUCUUCUUUGCUUUCCUCUUUCUCGUGGGUGUUCUUUCUUCUUUUUUUUUGAAAAUUUUUUCUUUGCUUGCUUUCUCUUUUUCUUUUUGCUUUGGCCCUUAUUUCCUUUGCUAGGUGACGGCGAACGGCGGUGCUGGUGCGACGGCCGACGGUGGGCUUGUUGCUGCUAUUUUUGCUUCUUUUUUGCCUAAAAAAUUUGUGUUUUUUAAAAAAUUUGUGUUUUUUCUUUUUUUUUGGCUUCUUGCUUUGUUUGUUUGUGUAGGUGCGACGGUUUUGGUGGUGUCACGGUGGCGGUGUGACGACGGUGGGGUGGGCUUUUCGCUUGUUGCUGGUUUUUUUUUGAAUUUUCUCUGCUCUUUUUUCUUUGGUUGCCGAAAAUUGAGAACCCCCUUUUCCUCUCUUUCAAAUUUUCCUUUUAAUCUCUUGAUUUUUUGUCCUCCUUCUUCUUGUCUUCAGGUGGCAGUGGAGUAAUCAUGGCCUAGGGAGGCUGGUGGAGUAGCUGGAGGUGGGAGGAGCAUGCUCGGCUGCCAUUGGGUGAUUUGACAAGUCCAGAAGGAUUGAACUGUAGAGGGCGUAAAACUUCUGGGGCAAAAGUGAAAUUUUAGAAAAAUAUAGGGCCAAAAUGUAAUUUCUAGAAAUUUUAGGGGUCUGAAUGUAAUUUUGUAUUUUUUUGUAUUUUUCUGAUUUAUUAUUUAUUAAUAUUAUUAAAACAUAAAAAAAGGGCCAAAGCCCAAACAAGUCCAACAUAUUUAAAACACAAUUAACCAACCCUACAUGCCCAACCAUUGGGCCCAAUUAUUAGGCCCACAUGAGGCAAGCCCAA
rnacentral:lncRNA from 1 species